UCUGGUACCUUCGGUGCCCGAGUUGUAAUUUGUAGAGGGCGACUUUGGGGCGGCUCCUUGUCUAUGUUCCUUGGAACAGGACGUCAUAAAGGGUGAGAAUCCCGUGUGGCGAGGAGUGCGGUUCCGUGUAAAGCGCUCUCGAAAAGUCGAGUUGUUUGGGAAUGCAGCUCUUAGUGGGUGGUAAAUUCCAUCUAAAGCUAAAUAUUGGCGAGAGACCGAUAGCGAACAAGUACAGUGAUGGAAAGAUGAAAAGAACUUUGAAAAGAGAGUGAAAAAGUACGUGAAAUUGUUGAAAGGGAAGGGCAUUUGAUCAGACAUGGUGUUUUGCGCCCCCCGCUCCUUGUGGGUGGGGGACUCUCGCAGCUCACUGGGCCAGCAUCAGUUUUGGCGGCCGGACAAAACUGCAGG
rnacentral:rRNA from 1 species